UUUUACAUAGAAAUACAGUAAAACUACUUAUCUGUUUUUCAAACAAAAACAUAUGUAAACAUGAUUCCUUAUAAAACAUAUUUUCAAAGCCCAUCUCAAAAACAAGCUAGACCACUCAAAAAACAAAACAAUAGAAAAAAAAUACCCAAGCAAGCAAAAUGUAUUCAUUUUAAUUACAGUCUGAAGAACGCGGAACCCCUUCCCGUCGCAGUAAAUCGGAAGGACCACCAGCGGUUGCCAACGGACGGCUACCGACCGGAACCGGCACCGGCGGCAUCUCGAACGGAGUAGCACACGAGCCGGUCUCGGUCGAAGGCAGAGCGCAGGAACAGCCGGCGAACGCUCACGAACUGGAACCCCUGGUGAACGACGUCGACGGUGAAAAGCCGCAGCAUGAA
rnacentral:lncRNA from 1 species